AGAAGAUCAAAGAAACUACUACGGAGUUCAGUUGCAACCCUCUUACAAUUUCAAUGGCCUCUGCUGAGGUAACUCAAAUACUAAUUUGAUGUUUUGUUUUUGAUAAGUACCAUAAACUAAUUUUUUUAUAAAAAUGAUAUAUACAUCAUCGUCAUACUCGCAUUAGAAAUUAAACUGUCAAUCAAGGUUACAGUUUUGGUUGUGAAAGAUAUUUCACAAACCAUGUGCAAAACCAUGGGUACACGUACCGUACACUGAUCCUAUCCCAUAUAAAGGGUUGUGUAUAUGUCGACCUAAAGAUUAGUAAACAAACAAGAGGUUUAGUUAUGUGUCGGACUCAGUACCAUUAAAAACCGAUUGGCAAAUAUCAGUUUGAAACAUGCAAGAAAAACCUGAAUUGCAAAACCAUCAAUUAAUGAAUGAAACCAUUUUGUGAUCUUGGCGUGUUGAUUCAACCAUUUUGUGAGGAGAGAUCAUUCAUAUUCACUUAUUCAGUGAUUGACUUGGUAUUUUCAAGCACAUUAUUAGGCUUUCACUAUCAAUAUUUGGGUAAUUAGUUGUGCAGUCCUCCCUUGUACAAGACGGUGUUUGUUCAAAAGUCCUGGACAUUGUGUAUGUAUUUAUGUGGUUUUUACGUGUUGAUUGAUCGACCCAUUAGACAUCAAAUUGACUCAAAAAUUAAUAUAUAGGAACUGAGUCUGAUUAUUGGCAGUCCCCUUCUAGUAAGAGUAGACCCAUAGAAAGGCACCCAUGUCGACCACUCGACCCAGGGAAGCACCCUAAAGCAAUAGUUUCUUUCAUUUUCUCAGUACCUGUACGGCCUCUCCUCUCUUACAUCAUAGAGUCCCAGACAUUGAUAUCUGAAUUUUAAAUUAAAUAAAUGUUAUUAUUAAAUUAAUUAUAGAAAAAAAAAAAAAUUCUGUUGAAUUGGUCCCGCGGAAAAUUAGUUUAUGUAUUAGUAACUUAUAUGUUAUGGUUGAUGACUAUUGGGUCCUGUAGGUUGCAUCCAUAUCACUGACAUCUGCAUCGGCUGUGGAGAAUAACACAAGAGAGGAAUUAGCUAAGACCCAAGAGACCAAAAAGGUGGAAGGGGAGGUUGCGCAGCCUACACCAGAAAUUAGUGUUGAAGAACUGGUAUAAAACAUUGUACCAUCUACCUACUCUGCUACUCAGUCAAGUUUGUCAGACAUGAAUAUACUCUAUUUUAAGUUAGUAAUAUCAGUAAACUUUAAUCUGAAUUGCAGCAUUUUAUUUUUCUCAUCUAGUUCUUGUCUUGCUUUUUUGCAGUAAUCCAAAUAUCGACAUGGAAAAUUCGAUUCCAGAUGACGAAGUUUAAAAAUUCGGAGCACUUCAGACUCUUUGGAGUAACUUCGUCUAUUUUUAUUGUGAUUGUGAUGACCUGGUGUGUAAUCUUACAACUUUUAGUUGCUUUCUUCUUUGUUAUGUUGUUAUUGUCGUAUGUGAGUAUGCGACAAUAUGAUGUUAUCCAGACUCAACGGCAUAGGUCACUUUUACCUUUGUCCUUUGUUAACAACAUUCAUACACAGUAUGCGAUAAUAUGAUGAGGAUACGCCUUCCUUUUGUGAUUGAAUAUUAUUUCGUGCUUGGACCUU
rnacentral:lncRNA from 1 species